ACAUGCCUACAACAUAGCGUUAAUGCGUCGAAUCCCAUUAGAACUUUGCAGUUAAGCACGCUCAGGCUAGAGUAGUACUGGAUUGGGUGACCAUCUAAGAAGUCCUAGUGUUUUACAUGCC
rnacentral:rRNA from 1 species